rnacentral:rRNA from 1 species
AGAGUUUGAUCAUGGCUCAGGAUGAACGCUAGCUACAGGCUUAACACAUGCAAGUCGAGGGGAAACGACAUCGAAAGCUUGCUUUUGAUGGGCGUCGACCGGCGCACGGGUGAGUAACGCGUAUCCAACCUGCCCACCACUUGGGGAUAACCUUGCGAAAGUAAGACUAAUACCCAAUGACGUCUCUAGAAGACAUCUGAAAGAGAUUAAAGAUUUAUCGGUGAUGGAUGGGGAUGCGUCUGAUUAGCUUGUUGGCGGGGUAACGGCCACAAGGCGACGAUCAGUAGGGGUUCUGAGAGGAAGGUCCCCCANAUUGGAACUGAGACACGGUCCGAACUACCUACCGGGAGGCGA